UACGAAGGGGGCUAGCGUUGCUCGGAUUGACUGGGCGUAAAGGGCGCGUAGGCGGAUAGUACAGUCAGGCGUGAAAUUCCUGGGCUCAACCUGGGGGCUGCGUUUGAUACGUAUUGUCUGGAGUUCGGAAGAGGGUCGUGGAAUUCCCAGUGUAGAGGUGAAAUUCGUAGAUAUUGGGAAGAACACCGGUGGCGAAGGCGGCGACCUGGUCCGAUACUGACGCUGAGGAGCGAAAGCGUGGGGAGCGAACAGG
rnacentral:rRNA from 1 species